rnacentral:rRNA from 1 species
ACGAACGCUGGCGGCAUGCCUAACACAUGCAAGUCGAACGAGACCUUCGGGUUUAGUGGCGCACGGGUGCGUAACGCGUGGGAAUAUGCCCUUGGGUUCGGAAUAACAGUUAGAAAUGACUGCUAAUACCGGAGGAUGACGUAAGUCCAAAGACUUAUCGCCCAAGGAUGAGCCCGCGUAGGAUUAGCUAGUUGGUGGGGUAAAGGCCCACCAAGGCGACGAUCCGUAGCUGGUCUGAGAGGAUGAUCAGCCACACUGGGACUGAGACACGGCCCAGACUCCUACGGGAGGCAGCAGUGGGGAAUAUUGGACAAUGGGCGAAAGCCUGAUGCAGCAAUGCCGCGUGUGUGAUGAAGGCCUUAGGGUUGUAAAGCUCUUUUACCCGAGAUGAUAAUGACAGUAUCGGGAGAAGAAGCUCCGGCUAACUCCGU